GCCAUACCAUGCUGAAUAUACCGGUUCUCGUUCGAUCAUCGAAGUAAAGCAUCAUCGGGCGUGGUCAGUACUUGGUAGGGUGACCACCUGGGAACACCGCAUGCCGUU
rnacentral:rRNA from 1 species